GCCCGGCUGGCGCAAUCGGUAGCGCGUAAGACUUGUUAGUUUCCCCUUUCACCUGCUGGAAAUUCUUCCCAUUGGACAACCACUAACCUGAACACCAGCUAUUCCUUGAACACCAGUUCAUCCUAGAAGACCAUCUUAAGGUUGCGGGUUCGACCCCCGCGUUGGGCU